GGUUUACUGGGCAUGGGAGUUUUGAUCCUGAAUCAUGGGAGUUCGUGAUGUGUGUGAGAAGAAAUCCACCACGUAUGGGUGAUAGAAAUACCGAAAUUCAAUGAAUGAGGAGAUAAGUUUUUUUUUCCAAGUAUAAUUAGUAGUCAUGCUCAUGUUUUGAUCUCUGCUUUUUAUGUUUUUAUAUUUUAUUUUAUUUUGGAUUCAAAGUAAUAACGUGUUUGAUGAGGUGCUUCGUAGAUGGGACAAUCAAUUGUUUAAAAAUCGGCAUAUAUUAAACUCUUCUCGGCGGACAAACAUAAAGAAACCCUAAUUUUUUUGUUUUAUAUCGAUUAACUUCCUCUCUUUCAAUUAGGUUUCCUUGACUCUUAGCAAUCCAUCGACGAUGUAUCGUCAC
rnacentral:lncRNA from 1 species